UGGGGAAUUUUGGACAAUGGACGAAAGUCUGAUCCAGCCAUUCCGCGUGCAGGAUGAAGGCCCUCGGGUUGUAAACUGCUUUUGUACGGAACGAAAAGGUCUCUCCUAAUACGAGAGGCUCAUGACGGUACCGUAAGAAUAAGCACCGGCUAACUACGUGCCAGCAGCCGCGGUAAUACAUAGGGUGCAAGCGUUGUCCGGAAUUAUUGGGCGUAAAGAGCUCGUAGGUGGUUCGUCACGUCGGAUGUGAAAAUCUGGGGCUUAACCCCAGACCUGCAUUCGAUACGGGCGAGCUAGAGUGUGGUAGGGGAGACUGGAAUUCCUGGUGUAGCGGUGGAAUGCGCAGAUAUCAGGAGGAACACCGGUGGCGAAGGCAGGUCUCUGGGCCAUAACUGACACUGAGGAGCGAAAGCGUGGGGAGCAAACAGG
rnacentral:rRNA from 1 species